GUCCCCAUGGUGCAGUGGUUAGCACGCUCGCUCGGCAAACGGGAGAUAUUAGGUUCGAUUCCUUACCGGAACG
rfam:Oryctes borbonicus contig21609, whole genome shotgun sequence.